CUGAAGGAACACGGUGGGAAGUUCGGCAGAAAAGAAACCAGUUUAACGUCAUUUGUAAGCAAGUCAAUUCACCAAAAGGUCAAUUUGAUAAAUUAUUUGCUGAUUUUUAUAAAUUUAGUGCCAUUUUUUCCUUCAAGAUUUAUUACGUGUAAUGGAAAUGGUUCCAAAGCUCUGACAGGAGUGUGCAAUGGCAAAAAAAUAUUAAAUGUGCAAAAAGCCAGCGAGGCAUAAAUUAAGUGGAUAAUUUUCCACAUAUGAGAUUGUUUAGGCUUCUUUUGAAUGUUUCCGAAUGUUCUUUUUAAACUUCAUUUAAAACAUCAAGCACUUUAAGUUUUCUUUCCACAGCUCCUCCACUGGCCUAUCAGCAUUAAUUUAGGAUUUCUA